rnacentral:lncRNA from 1 species
CCAUGGAUGCCUAUGAUGUGCCUUUCUAACACCACAAAAGGAAAUCUACUGUACCGUCCUCACUAAAUCUGAGCCAUUGAAGACCAUGAAAGAUUGGCAAGAAGUACACAGCUAUCCAUGUUUGUUUGUUGUACUAUAAACUAGAACUGUCUGGUGAAAGAUAAACUCAGCUGGGAUAAGCCAAAAGCCAUCAUUAUAUUUGAAUAAUACAAAACCUGUUGUUCUCAAAUUUAGAAGAGAGACAUCAGCAAGAUGGUGAAAUACAAAGUCCUGGACCCUCCUUCCCUCCACAAAUACACUGAUUUGACAAAAAUUCAUGGACAGAUUCCCUUUGUAAGAAACCAAGAAACUGGUUAAGAGGCUCUUAUAUCCCAGCUAUUUUGAAUAUAUGAGAAAGUCAAACAACUCAAGAGCAAUACAAAACAAAACAAAUAAUCUGAUGUAGAAAAUGAAUAAAACACCUGAGUAAACAUCUCUCAAAAAAAGAUAUACAAAUGGCCAACAAGUAUAUGAAAAAAUGUUCAACGUCGCUAAUCGUCAGGGAACUACAAAUCCAAAUCACGAUAUAUCACCUCAUGCCAGACAGAAUGCCUAUUAGCAAAAAGACAAAAGUUAACAAAUUCUGCUACCUGUCAGUAUCACAUUUUUUUGUGAAUUAUAAUCCUUCAUGCACAAAAAUGUUCCAUGUGGCAACUUCAAAGACAACCUGCUGA